GAUGAAGAACGUAGCGAAAUGCGAUAAGUAGUGUGAAUUGCAGAAUUCAGUGAAUCAUCGAAUCUUUGAACGCACAUUGCGCCCCUUGGUAUCCCGAGAGGCAUGCCUGUUCGAGCGUCAUUUCACCACUCAAGCCUGGCUUGGUGUUGGGCGACGUCCCCUUUGGGGACGCGCCUCGAAACGCUCGGCGGCGUGGCACCGGCUUUAAGCGUAGCAGAAUCUUUCGCUUUGGAAGUCGGGGCCCCGUCUGCCGGAAGACCUACUCGCAAGGUUGACCUCGGAUCAGGCAGGGAUACCCGCUGAACUUAAGCAUAUCAAAAGCGGAGGA
rnacentral:misc_RNA from 1 species